UACAGAGGGGGCAAGCGUUGUUCGGAAUUACUGGGCGUAAAGGGCGCGUAGGCGGCCUUCUAAGUCGAACGUGAAAUCCCCGGGCUCAACCCGGGAACUGCGUCCGAUACUGGAAGGCUUGAAUCCGGGAGAGGGAUGCGGAAUUCCAGGUGUAGCGGUGAAAUGCGCAGAUAUCAGGAGGAACACCGGUGGCGAAGGCGGGUCUCUGGGCCGAUACUGACGCUGAGGAGCGAAAGCCAGGGGAGCAAACGGG
rnacentral:rRNA from 1 species